CUUUACCUUCAUAGAACUUACAUGACAGUGGGAACCCAGACAACUGAUAAUGGGGAUAUGCUAAACAUAUAUUUGUGAUAAUUUUCAAGGGGAAAAAGAUAGUGAGAAAUGGAACAAGAUUUGAUCCUUUAGCUGGGGUGGGAUGAGGAGGACUCACUGUGAGGAAAACCCCUUUGAGGAACCACCUAGAAGAGGGAAGGAGCAAGCAUGUACACCAAGGAGGGGCAUUGAAGCAGAGGAGACAGUAGGGCUGAGGGCUGCGGCAGUGAAUAGAGCAGGUUGUCAGUUGAGAAGAAAAAGAAGAGGGGCAAGGGAUGAAGCCAGACACCAAUUUAGGAGGCAUCUGCAAGGUCCCAGGUGACAGACACCUGCGCUUACACGAGGUUGUGGCAGUGAAGGUGCUGAAAUGAGAAAUAAAAAAAUCACGGAAUGUCACAGAAGUCAUAGAACUUGACAAAGGACACACAGCUCAGUAUGAAUCCAGGUUGGCUUGACACGAUACUGCCUGCAGGACAACAUGUGCCUUCAUUAACCACAAGGACUAAGUCUACCAAAGUGACCCACUGGAUGCUUAUUAUCCUCUCUUUGUAAUAUGAUGGCAUUUAUAAAAGUAAUACUGAGAAAAUCCAAAGCUUAUAAUUUGGAAACAUAAAUCUACCCAUAACACUGUUUUUAAGCACCAGACAAAUUCAAACUCACUUGCUUCUAAGCAACUCUUGCUUAAACAAAUUAAGAACAUCUUUUAGACAUUUCUGCCAGGAAAAACUUUGGCAUCUGCUAAGGGACUUCCUCAGUUAUAAUAAGGAUAACGAUGUUCCUUAUUUGUAUCCUUUUUGUUUGGGUUGCCAGGAAACUUCGCACUCAAUAAUCGUAUAUAUCUCUUUCCUCUUCCUGUUAGUGCUCUUGGUUUACUAUUUCUAGUUCGAGUUUUUCAUAUUCAUUGUAAAGUAUAUUUUUUGUAAGUUACUUCAGAACUUCUGUGGGAAAAUCCAGGGCGCAUAAAUUGUACAGAGGCCAAAACAG
rnacentral:lncRNA from 1 species